GGGAACUACAAUACUACAUCCACUUUCUGGCGGUUUCGGUGGUAAAAUCUGCAUGUGGUGGAAAUCCGUGCUACAUCCACUUUCUGGCGGUUUAUGUCCGUGUUACAAUCACAGUUCACACAGCAAUCUCUAUGCCAGACUUUGCUCGAUGAUCUGAAAAAAUGGCGGGAGGACGGGAGCAGAAAAAUAAAAGGUGUCCGGUAAUUAGCUGCCAAGCCGAAGUGUGAAGAAAUAUGACGAAUGAGCGCGCGCUGAGAUGGAUGAUCGCAGAAGCGUCGCAGCCUCUCGGGUUACAACGCGUCCCAGUCAAAAAGAUUUAGAUACUUAACGUGGUAAUACAUAAAUUUCACUUUUAUGGAAGUCCAUGAAAUUAGACAGCUCUCCUUGCUCACUAUCGAUAGGCCGAUUAUUCGUUUUUGGAAGAAAAAGAAAAACAUUCCAGUUUUCUGAAUUAAUCAAUAGUCAUAAUAAACAUGUAGCUUGAAACUUUAUAGUUAAUCGAGAACUUCGAAGUAUUACUAAUACAUUGAUAGUAUGUUCACUGAAAUCUUAAUGGUCAGGUUGUUUACUCAAAGCCCAAUAAAUAAGUGUGUGU